rnacentral:rRNA from 1 species
CCUACGGGAGGCAGCAGUGAGGAAUAUUGGUCAAUGGGCGAGAGUCUGAACCAGCCAAGUAGCGUGAAUGAUGACUGCCCUAUGGGUUGUAAACUUCUUUUAUAUGGGGAUAACACAGGGUAUGCAUACCCUCUUGUAUGUACCUUAUGCAUAAAGAUAGGCUAACUCCUUGCCGUCAGCCGCGGUAAUACGGAGGAUCCGAGCGUUAUCCUGAUUUGUUGGGUUUAAAGGGAGCGUAGGUGGGUUGUUAAGUCAGUUGUGAAAGUUUGGGGCUCAACCGUAAAAUUGCAGUUGAAACUGGCAGGGUUGAGUACAGUAGAGGUGGGCGGAAUUAGUGGUGUAGCGGUGAAAUGCUUAGAUAUCACGAAGAACUCCGAUUGCGAAGGCAGCUCACUGGACUGCAACUGACACUGAUGCGCGAAAGCGUGGGUAGCAAACAGGAUUAGAUACCCUUGUAGUC